AUUGAACGCUGGCGGCAGGCCUAACACAUGCAAGUCGAGCGGAUGAAGGGAGCUUGCUCCUGGAUUCAGCGGCGGACGGGUGAGUAAUGCCUAGGAAUCUGCCUGGUAGUGGGGGAUAACGUCCGGAAACGGGCGCUAAUACCGCAUACGUCCUGAGGGAGAAAGUGGGGGAUCUUCGGACCUCACGCUAUCAGAUGAGCCUAGGUCGGAUUAGCUAGUUGGUGGGGUAAACGCCUACCAAGGCGACGAUCCGUAACUGGUCUGAGAGGAUGAUCAGUCACACUGGAACUGAGACACGGUCCAGACUCCUACGGGAGGCAGCAGUGGGGAAUAUUGGACAAUGGGCGAAAGCCUGAUCCAGCCAUGCCGCGUGUGUGAAGAAGGUCUUCGGAUUGUAAAGCACUUUAAGUUGGGAGGAAGGGCAGUAAGUUAAUACCUUGCUGUUUUGACGUUACCAACAGAAUAAGCACCGGCUAUCUUCGUG
rnacentral:rRNA from 1 species